AUAAUAACAACAAUAAUAAUAGGAAGCCGAAAGCAUCGGAAUUUUCUUCUGGAAUGCGAUUUUGCGACGUCUAAAUCAUCGUCUUUUCCCGUUGUGUCGUCCCAGAUGCCAAACUCAGGGAUCUUCUUCCUGUUGGGGCGGAAAAUGCGUCAGUCGUUGCGAACAACAGGCGGCGGACCAGAAACCGCCAGCCACGAAAAAACAGGCUGGAAACGAAAAGAUUCCUGUGCGUUUUUUUACCUCGAAUGCUUCUCCGGCCUCGUCCUCCUCUGCGUCGUCUGGAUUUACGUCGAAAAACGGAUCGGCGCCGGCAUGGUCAGGUUCAACACCAAUCGGCCGGAGUUGCAUUGGCUCUGUUCCAGGACCUCUAUACACUCGGCCCGCGUCCUCUAAAAAUCUACGGAAUUUGCCGCCAAACGUUGGGCAUGCCGACAGGACCCGACCUCUGUACGUGUAUUCGCACAUGUAUUGUUGUAGGGCCCUGUCGGUGCGCAACGAUUUGAUAGUUUCCUGCAACAAAAAAAAAGGCAUUUAAUAGAUAUAAGGCCUCUAGGUGCUGAUUAUUAUUUUGCUGCAAGUUACAAUGCCGUUUCUGUCGGUCGCUGUAUACCUUACCUUCAGAUAUCUGUUUCGGAUCUCUAUGUUUUGCGUAUGCACGCUGGGGUCCGAGACGGAUACAAAUCUGUAAAAACACAGACGGUUAAGAGCCGGUGUAGCCACUUUGGAAACCUUUAGCGGGCAAGAGAGUCCGCUCUAUUCUUACCUCCCGGCUCCUUUUGUGCUAUGGUUGACAAACUUGUGGGCCGAAAAACCCAGCUGUUCGCAACCCGUAUACUGUGGAGCCGCAUCGCUGACAAUGAUGGAACCUGGCUCGAUGUAUUCGAGCAUGUGA
rnacentral:lncRNA from 1 species